rnacentral:rRNA from 1 species
UACGAAGGGGGGCUAGCGUUGCUCGGAAUCACUGGGCGUAAAGCGCACAUAGGCGGAUUGCUAAGUCAGGGGUGAAAUCCUGGAGCUCAACUCCAGAACUGCCUUUGAUACUGGCGACCUUGAGUCCGGGAGAGGUGAGUGGAACUGCGAGUGUAGAGGUGAAAUUCGUAGAUAUUCGCAAGAACACCAGUGGCGAAGGCGGCUCACUGGCCCGGUACUGACGCUGAGGUGCGAAAGCGUGGGGAGCAAACAGG